UGCACAAGGCAUUUACAUGGGUGGGAUUGCUCAAAGACAGGAGCCUGGUAUCUUAAAGGGAUCAGGAGGUGCUUCAAGUCUUUGUAUUGGCUGCACUUGGGAUUUGUCUGCAAAUCCAAAGCUUUAGGAUCUCCUGGAUCUCCUCAUCCAUCAGAACUCUCCGGUGGUGUCGUUCCUAUUCCAGGCUCCAAGACUGGAUAUGCAGAUUGUGUUUUUGGGCUCCUUGAAUCAGCAGAGCUGGAUUUUGUGUAGCUGUAGACAAAUCCUGGUGGCACCAAUCCUGUCACACACAGUCAGGAUACAGGGAGGCUUCACAGAUGGAAUAUAGCCUUGCACCGAUUAAAUAACCAUUUGUGCUCUCCUGCAGCAGAAGAUGGGAAUGCCCUGUCUGAACAGUGCUUCCUCUCAUUCCUGAUGCCACCUUAUGAUGGCAGAUAUUCAGCAUCACUUCUGGUUGGGACCAUUGUGAGUCCUCACUGCAACAGCCUGGAGAGGGGAGGCACAUGCAAGGGAUGCUUCACCUGUGAGAGUGUUGUAUAAUAUCUGCACAAAUCCACUGACUUCAAUGAAAGAUAUAGUUGCCACAAGUAAUUCCUUACAAGAAUGUUCAAAACAGCAGCGUUGGAAGCAUAAACAGCUUGAGUAAGAAAGAAGAGGAGAUGGAGAUUUAGACUCAAACCUGUUUGCCAGAAAGGACAGUCCUUGUGGGCAGUGAGCUUACCAAUGGAUUGCACGACUUUGCCUUUCUCCUGCUGUAGCUUUCCUUCAGUUCUCAGGGUCAGCAGCUAGAAGGGUUAAGGAAUCUCCUGUCCCCUGCAAUGAAUUAAUUCUGACUUGCUACCAUUUGAAAGAAAGUAGUGCUACAGCUGAGCUACAUUUCCUUCCUGUCUGGCUGCUGGAAGCAGGCAGCAGAGCAAGGAGAGAUGAAAGCAGCUCAGGAUCUGGCCUGGUUAAUGCCUUUCAGAUGCCUUUAAAGACAUAGCAAUUUCUUUUAAAGGCUGCCUCCUUUGAUUUGAAGCACUGUGAAGGAACUGCAGUUUGACUUGUCAAGAAAACAAUCCUGUUUCUUAACAAUUUGCAGAAAAAUGUUUAUCCCAACACAAAAAGCACAUAGCUAUAACUCUUCUGCCACAAAGAGGGCUGUAUGAAUAUGUCUUCUUAGAUGAAAGCAAGAGAAACUGGAUGAGAGAACUGGCAAAAUGAAAGAAGAAAAUUACAACCAGGGUGAAAGAUGAAAUCUCUGCUGUGUUGAGCUCGAUGCAGCCCAAAGUGACUUCGAUGUGGUUGGAGUUUCAGCGGUCUGGCAAGGAAAAAACUCUCAGUUCUUGGUGUAGGGGGUUAAUACUGUGCUACUCUAAGGUGUGUGUCACCUGCCUUCCUCUCUGGAUACCCAACAAGGAUCCUCUCAUGUUUCUCUUGGGCUGUCCUCAUCCAAGGUCAGUGUUUGCCAGCAUCUUCUCAUCGGACACAAAUCUGUAACUUUCUAAUCAAGGCUCCCAUCUCCUUGCACCGCUACUGCUCACCUGCUAAAUUAUUUCUAGAUCCAUGCUACUUCAAUUCAGUAACAGGAAACAUCUCUAAGUCCCAUUUGCAUCAAUGUAAAUGCUUUUAAAUUGCCUGGCUAAAUCACAGCAGAGAUUAGAUAAAUAGAGCUCCAAAGAUGGAGUAAAAGUUAAAGGAGGAGGAAAAAACUCAUUGCGAUUAUGCAAGCACCUGACAGUCAUUUCAAAUUAAAUAUAAUUAUCAGGAAGUUGAUUUGGGGUUAAAUGUGAAAAUACUGAAAUGAUUGCUUUAGUGUAGAGUAACAAAACAAAAGUCAAACAAGGCAAUAGUUCUUGUCAGAAUAGGGAAAGAAUGAUUAAUUUAAUGUAUCAAUAUAAUGCAAGGCACCCUUUAUAGACCUGAAAUACCUAGGAAAGCAGGAACUAAUGUGUUGCAGGAAGAUGCUGACUUACAGGACAGAAAAGGAGAAUUUUUGAACAGUGAAGUAUUCUGAACUGGAGAAGUAUUGCACAGUAAUAAAUCGAAAAUAGUUAUAAAGAAAUGUACUGAAUAUGGAAUGACAAAGAUUGCCCUAGCUUGAGUACAUUUUUAGUACAUGAAUAAAGCACAUCAAUUCAAAUCAUAUCAUAAGAAAUAAUACUAAAUAGAAAAGUACAUCAUAUAACACAAAAUAAUUGAUCACAUAUUAAUAGAAGGAGUCAUUGCCAAAUUUCUUUGCCCUCAAUCUGCCCCAUGUCUACACAGACCAUGUGCUGGCUGUUCCUGAGAACGGGCAUGGCUUGUCAUUUUCACUGAUUAAUGGAAAUUACAGUGACAAAUCCGGAAUCCAAACCUUAUCUAAAGGUGACAUGUAAUCAAUAUAUUUGCAUUCCCUCACAAGCAAGGAUAAGGAGGAAUAUGAUACCCUGAACUUAUACAAGAAUAAAUAAUCUUGGCUAUAAAUAUAAGAGCUAUCCAUCACUCCUACUUAUUUUCCCUGGCAGCUGCCUGGCAGCAAUUUUUCAAGCUGGAACCAGGAUCCUGGACAUGGUGCACUGCUGGGACUGCAGGAAGAAUGCGAACUGGUGUCAGGUUAUAAAUUUCUGCUCUAGUCCCAUAUGGCACAUAAUCCUCCUGCAAGGCCAAACAAGGAACCACUGGAUUUCACAUGGUGCUUUUAUGAGGCAACAGAAUCAGCAAGUUUGAAACAAGCAGCUCCUAGAGACGUGAAGCGAGGCAAACUCAGCAGAAGGGAGCUCUAAUAUAACUCUCUGCUUGCAGCCUGCUACUCAAUGCCUAGUUCAUCUUUGCCUCAAAAUUGCCACUAAAGCUCAAAGAACCAACAGCAAGGACCUUUUUAGUACUGCAGUAACUUGAAGCAUAAAAUUCAUACAAAAAAUUCACUGCCCUGCUCGGUAUGACUAAUGGAGCCACUGCAUCUCCUGCUUGUAAUAAGGGGCAAAAAUUGACAUGAUGAACAAUUGAAGAUCAGGCCUCUGUGCUUGAAAAAACCUUGAGGCAAAAAUUCUUCCGAGCAUCAUCAGCAAGGAGGAGAGGAUCUCUGAUUUCAAAGUCGGGUGAGCAUCAUCUGCAGCUCAUUGUUAGCUCUUGCUGGCAGGGCUGUGAGCAGCACUCACUGUGCCCUCCCUCAGCUGUGGCACAUCCAUCUCCCACUAAGCCAUAUGGGAGAGACAAUGGAGCAUGAAGAUCUCUGAGCCUGAGAGGGAUUAUGAGGCUUUCUGAUUAGAUGCACUGCACUUCCAAAAAGAUAGGUAUUGCCCUCUUUUUUAAAAGAGGCUUUCCACCCAAUAAUCCCUGUCACUGAGCCAGAACACAAAAGUGUAGAAAAUGUUAUAUGCUUCUAUCCCAAUGUAAUGCAUAAAGUUGCAUUAAAAAUAGAGGAUACACAUCUAAGGGAAAUGGGCACAUCUGACUACACCAGGAAUGCCUUCCCUCACUCAAUCCUGAUCACCAUAAUUAAACAGCAUUACAUAAGUAGUGCUACUAGUGAUUCAGGAUUCAAACCUGCACUUCUAAAGUCAUUCUCCAUCCUGAGCUGACAACAAAUUUUUUACCCCUUGAGAGUGUCAAAAAAAUUGAUAUAAAAACUGAGCAUAGAACAUCCCAGAGAUAUGAACUUGAUAGCAACAAAUGUCACCUCUCUGUGUGUCCCAGCAACACCUGCAACUUCUGACAACUGCUCAGCCAGCCUCAUUUCCAUAGUCACAGGUGUGGGGGUAUCCAGGUUAUCUUUGGCAAGAUGGAAAUCCUCAAUCCCCCUUCUCAAAUGUCCACUGAAAGACCAGAGUGUCUGUGUGUUGAUCUACUUCAAUUUCAUGGGGAAAUAUUAAAAAUGCUUGACUAAAAAUCCAUCAAAACACAUGAAUCCCAUUACAGUGGUGAGCAAGAACAUCUCAUUCCUUGUUUCCUGUCACUCGGGCAACACUUCCAACCUCACUGAAGGUUGCUAGGCUAAACCAAAUAUUUGGACAAAACUUGCUAAUAAAUGGAAUAUUUGGA
ensembl:lncRNA